UCUCUCUACCUGCCAUGCCCCUCCUCUCACUACCUGCCUUGCCCCUGCUCUAACCUCACCUCACCUCUUGCAACCUGCACUGCCCCUCCUCACCUCACCUCCCACUACCUGCCUUAUUUUUCAUCACCUCACUAUUUGUCUCAUAUCAAAAGUACAUGUUCCACAGAUUCCUUCUCUUCCGGACACCUCUCACACAGUCCUGUCUGAUGUUUCCCUACCAAUUUGCCGCCAUGAACUGAGGGCCCACAAGCUGCUUAUACUGCAGCUGGGCACAGCCGUCAACAACAAUGAGCAGACUGCAUCACAUCCCAUCACAUCCCUCCAUACUGUGUCUGACUAAUUAAAGUGAAGACUCUGUGCUUA